rnacentral:rRNA from 1 species
ACGGAAGGCAGCAGUGGGGAAUAUUGCACAAUGGGGGAAACCCUGAUGCAGCAACGCCGCGUGAGUGAAGAAGUAUUUCGGUAUGUAAAGCUCUAUCAGCAGGGAAGAUAAUGACGGUACCUGACUAAGAAGCCCCGGCUAACUACGUGCCAGCAGCCGCGGUAAUACGUAGGGGGCAAGCGUUAUCCGGAUUUACUGGGUGUAAAGGGCGCGUAGGCGGGAAGGCAAGUCAGGUGUGAAAUCUAUGGGCUCAACCCCGGAACUGCAUUUGAAACUGUAGUCCUUGAGUAUCGGAGAGGCAAGCGGAAUUCCUAGUGUAGCGGUGAAAUGCGUAGAUAUUAGGAGGAACACCAGUGGCGAAGGCGGCUUGCUGGACGACAACUGACGCUGAGGCGCGAAAGCGUGGGGAGCAAACAGGAUUAGAUACCCUGGUA